AAAAAGCUCGUAGUCGGAUUUUGGCUGAGAACGGUCGGUCCGCCGUUAGGUGUGCACUGACUGGUCUCAGCUUCCUGGUGAGGAGGUGUGCUUCAUCGCCACUUAGUCACCGUGGUUACUUUGAAAAAAUUAGAGUGUUCAAAGCGGGCUUACGCUUGAAUAUAUUAGCAUGGAAUAACACCAUAGGACUCCUGUCCUAUUUCGUUGGUCUCGGGACGGGAGUAAUGAUAAAUAGGGACAGUCGGGGGCAUUUGUAUUCAAACGACAGAGGUGAAAUUCUUGGACCGUUUGAAGACAAACUACUGCGAAAGCAUUUGCCAAGAAUGUUUUCAUUAAUCAAGAACGAAAGUUAGAGGUUCGAAGGCGAUUAGAUACCGCCCUAGUUCUAACCAUAAACGAUGCCAGCUAGCGAUCUGCCUGCGUUUUUACUGUAGACUGGGCAGGAAGCUUCCGGGAAACCAAAGCAUUUGGGUUCCAGGGGAAGUAUGGUUGCAAAGCUGAAACUUAAAGGAAUUGACGGAAGGGCACCACCAGGAGUGGAGCCUGUGGCUUAAUUUGACUCAACACGGGAAAUCUCACCAGGCCCGGACACUGGAAGGAUUGACAGAUUGAUAGCUCUU
rnacentral:rRNA from 1 species